GCACUAUUAUUAAGCCCCUGGGUCUGUGUGUGACCUCUGGGGUUACGCUGUAGUGCUACAGAAUUUCUCUCUCUCUCCUUGGCUGUGCUUGUUCUGUAGCCUGCGGAGAACUGAGACACAGUG
ensembl:snoRNA